GUGGGUAUAGCUCAGUUGGUUAGAGUGCCAGGUUGUGGCCCUGGAGGUCGUGAGUUCGAAUCUCAUUACUCACCCCA
rnacentral:tRNA from 1 species